CGUCUAUAUACGUAUAGCAUAUCAAUAAGCGGGAGGAAAAGAAACUAACUAGGAUUCCCUCAGUAACGGCGAGUGAAGCGGGAAGAGCUCAAAUUUGAAAUCUUCAAGGUUUUACCUUGACGAAUUGUAGUUUAAAGAAGUGUUUUCUGUUGGAAUUUUGGUAAAAGUUCUUUGGAAAAAGACAUCAAAGAGGGUGAGAAUCCCGUAUUUGACCAUUAUUUCCAGCUAUGUGAUACACUUUCAAAGAGUCGGAUUGUUUGGGAAUGCAGUCCAAAAUGGGUGGUAAAUUUCAUCUAAAGCUAAAUACUGGCGAGAGACCGAUAGCGAACAAGUACCGUGAGGGAAAGAUGAAAAGAACUUUGAAAAGAGAGUUAAACAGUACGUGAAAUUGUCAAAAGGGAAGCGUUUGACACCAGUGUUGUUUUCUCGAAAAUCAAUUAAAAAAUGAUUGGAUUUUGUGUUGUAUUGACUUCAUCAGCUUUCUGCACUCUUUUCCUUGUCUUUUUUAAUGCACUUUUCGUUUAACAAGUCAACAUCAAUUUCUUUUGUUGUAAAAGGGUCAUUGGAAGGUGGCUUUCUUUUCGGAGAAAGUGUUUAUAGCCUUUGCCUCUGCAGUCGGAGAGAUUGAGGUCUGCAGCGUAGAUCCUUCGGGGUUAGAUGCAUUUGUGCUAAGUUAUAGCCUUUCAUAGACAACUUGUUGACUAUGAUCAGUCAUGUAGCUUACUCGCUUAUGUCAUUUUACCUACGCUUAGGAUGUUGACGAUCAGCUGAGCGCG
rnacentral:rRNA from 1 species